UACAGAGGUCUCAAGCGUUGUUCGGAUUCAUUGGGCGUAAAGGGUGCGUAGGCGGCGCCGUAAGUCAGGUGUGAAAUCUCGGGGCUCAACCCCGAAACUGCACUUGAUACUGCGGUGCUGGAGUACUGGAGAGGAGAUUGGAAUUUACGGUGUAGCAGUGAAAUGCGUAGAUAUCGUAAGGAAGACCAGUGGCGAAGGCGAAUCUCUGGACAGUUACUGACACUGAGGCACGAAGGCCAGGGGAGCAAACGGG
rnacentral:rRNA from 1 species